CCUGGUGGCUCAGAGGGUAAAGCAGCUGCCUUCAAUGCAGGAGAGCCAGGUUUGAUCCCUGGGUCAGGA
rnacentral:tRNA from 1 species